rnacentral:rRNA from 1 species
CCCUUAGAUGUUCUGGGCCGCACGCGUGCUACACUGAGUAAAUCAAUGGGUAAGGGAACACGAAAGUGCAACCUAAUCUUGAAAUCCGCUCGUGAUGGGGAUUGACGGUUGCAAUUUUCUGUCAUGAACGAGGAAUACCUUGUAAGCGCGGGUCAUCAUCCCGCGCUGAAUACGUCCCUGCCCUUUGUACACACCGCCCGUCGCUCCUACCGAUUGAGUGGUCCGGUGAGGCUUUGGGAUCUGGGCGGAAAGAGCGUUUCGCUGUUUCUGCUCGGAAAACUCAGUCGAACCUUAUCAUUUAGAGGAAGGAGAAGUCGUAACA